UAAAUCCUCAUUUGUAAGUUGCUUUGGAUAAAAGCGUCUGCUAAAUGACAAUGU
rfam:Danio rerio chromosome 4, GRCz11 reference primary assembly.